GCCGAAGUGGUGGAAUUGGUAGACACGCUAUCUUGAGGGGGUAGUGGGUUAAUGCCCGUGCCGGUUCGAGUCCGGCCUUCGGCA
rnacentral:tRNA from 1 species